CCUAGCCACACCUUCCCUGGCUAUGAUUGACAGAGCCUGCAUGAAAAAAAAAACUGGUUUCACUUUCAAACAGAUGUAAUUUACCUUAAAUAAUUGUAUCUCAAUCUCUAAAUUGAACUUUAAUCACAUACAGGAGGCUCUUGCAGGGUCUAGCAAGCUAUUAACAUAGCAGGGGAUAAGAAAAUCUUAAUUAAACAGAACUUGCAAUAAAGAAAGCCUAAAUAGGGCUCUCUUUACAGGAAGUGUUUAUGGAAGGCUGUGCAAGUCACAUGCGGGGAGGUGUGACUAGGGUUCAUAAACAAAG
rnacentral:lncRNA from 1 species